rnacentral:misc_RNA from 1 species
AAGGCUCACCUGAAGUAAACAAGGCCCAUGCAAGAGUACUCUCUCGGAAUAAUAUAUGUUUAGUUCGUCUUAGUUUGCAUGACGCUGAAACAAUGAAGUGCAUUGUACCAGGGGUUAAUAUUAAAGUUUUUGGAAGAGUUAUGCACUCAAUGGCAAAAAUUGGCGAUGAAUUAUAUGUUGAACCAGAUUCUACAGGAGUUAUCUUCCGCACUGUCAACUCAUCUCGGUCAGCAUUUGCUUCAUUUCAUUUUGGCAGCGGGUUCUUCACUCAUUUUGAUGAGGGUUUAGGCGGGCAACAGUCAAAUGCAGGAGAUGAGAUAGUCAAGUGUAAAGUUGCUAUGAAGGCUUUUAUAAAUGUGCUCAAGUCAAUUGCUGUUUUGGAAAAGACUGUGGAACGAUGCAAACUGACACUAGAUGGAGACGAUGCCAAGUUAGGGCUUCAGCUAACAUGUCGUCAUGGAAUUGUUAAGUCGUGCAGUUUACCCUUUAUUGAGUGCGAAACUUUACAAGCUGUGUAUGACAAGACUUCAUGCACAAACCACAUCCAAAGUCAAUCUCGGGUUCUGAGUGACGCUGUCCUCAACUUCCAGCUUAACCAGGAGGAAGUUACCCUUUGUGUCUCGCCUGAGAAAACUGUUCUUAGGAACUAUGUUGAUGAUGAGCCUGACCCUGGCAAGGCAAUUCACACAAUGCUUACACUGGAAUCAGGAGAGUUUGAUGAUUACAAUAUUUCCAGUGAAUGUGAGGUAACAUUUUGCCUCAAAGAACUAAGAGCCAUUCUUGCAUUUGCUGAGCCAGUGAAUCUUCCCAUUUCAUCACAUUUUUCUGAACCAGGAAGCCCCAUGAUAUUCAGCAUUGACAACAGUCCCAUGUUUGAAGGAACAUUUGUCUUAGCAACCCUGUCUCAGAAGCCAGAUACACAGAUCUCAGGAAGCCACACUUCUGGCAAGCGUAUCACUCAGCCAGUACGCAAAAAACAAGCUCCUGAGUCGCCCUCAUGCUCACAAACCCCUGCCAUGAAUAGGAUAACGCAGUCCAUUAACGAUUCAAUUCAAGUUGAACAAGUUAAUAAUAUUUCCAAUGGAAAGAGAGGAAACUUAUCCUCGCCUUGCAAGUCUACAGGUCUCAGAAAACCAAGUACUCCACUCCGUAAUGUGGCUGCACCACAUUUAUCAUCAAUGCAACCCAGAGAUACUAGUAACAUGAAUGGAAAUACAUCCCAACUUGAGAUAUCUCUACCAAAUUUAGAUGUAAAAAAUACGGUUGCAGAGGAGGAGGAGGAGGAUAUUGUUCCUGGAACUCCACCCUCUAAGAAGUUAAAAUUUCUUUUCCGUCGCUGCUUUGAGUCUACAUUUGACCCUCAGACAAUUCCUGGACAUAAUAAUAUUUUAGCAGGAGACUCAGAUGAUGACUCAUGAGUCAAAUUUCUUCUUUAUUGGUGGCAAUUCGUGAGUUUAAACUGCUAGAAGGGAUUUUUGUUUCUGAGGCUAAGCAUUGUUAUGUAUGCAUUUUGUAAAGAAAGUGUAGUUAUGAAUUAAUGAAUAUAUAUUGAACAACUGCUUGCUGUUUUACUUGUAAAAGCAGAUUGAAUGGCAAGGAUAACAGUCCCAGAAAGAAAAAUUUUGUUUGACAAUGACUAAGUCCAAAGUAAAGAUAACUAUGCAUAUGUGAUUAGAGUUUAAACUGCUAGAAGGGAUUUUUGUUUCUGAGGCUAAGCAUUGUUAUGUAUGCAUUUUGUAAAGAAAGUGUAGUUAUGAAUUAAUGAAUAUAUAUUGAACAACUGCUUGCUGUUUUACUUGUAAAAGCAGAUUGAAUGGCAAGGAUAACAGUCCCAGAAAGAAAAAUUUUGUUUGACAAUGACUAAGUCCAAAGUAAAGAUAACUAUGCAUAUGUGAUUAGAUGGAGAACCCUCUGUUAGCCAACUUAGAGAAAACUGCAUUGAUUUUAUAAUGUUAAGAUCAGAUAGAUGAGAAGUUGAAUCCUCCUCACACCUGAGGAAACUUAAUUUGUUUACAUCUUCUAGGAGAAAUGUAUACAUUGUGCCGUACGGUACUUUAAAUUGAUUAAGAAACCGGUGCAGUUAGAACAAAGACCAUACCACUACCGAAGUUUUAGACAAGAUAGACCUGUCAUAGAUAAUCUUCACUGUGCAAUCAGGUGAGUAAAUGGCUUGAGAGAAUGCAUGAGUAUGCCACACAGCCAACAGCCAUAUGUCUCACUUGUGGCAAGACAAGGCAAUUAUCAGGAGAAUUAGCACUAAACCUGUAUAGCACUUGGAAAAAAUAUGAGGAUAAGGAUUUAGGAUUGGAUGGAAGAAAGGAAGGAUUCCCAACCACUUGGACAGUCCGGGGAUUGAAUAGCAACCUGCUUGAAGCGAGACCGUAACUUCUCUGUUCAGUUAUUGUUAAUCCUUUUGUUUGUUCAGUGAAAAGAAGUCCUUACAUAUUCUCUAUUUUUGUGUGUGUGUGUGUUUAUGUGCAUUUAAGUGUGUGUGAGAUUAUGUAUGUACUGUGUACUUAACAUUUUAUGGGAACUGAACCUCAACUUCUGGGUGUCUUUCCAACUGCCUGUUGUCUAAUGGAAAGACUCAUUCUUGUAUUUCUUGUUUAUAUCUGCUUUUAAAAAUAUGGAUGGAGAUAAGGUAAUUAUCAGGAUAACGUGUUAUGCCAUAACUGCUAAUUAUGACUAUAUAGCAGUUAUUGAUAGAAUUAAUUUCGGUUAUUUCUAGUUCUAAUUCAUUUCACUUGCACACUGCCCUCACAUUGAUGAAAGUGUUUACUGACAUUAAUAAGUUAAUAUUUUUCACUUUGAUGCAUUUCCUCUCGUUCUGCUUUUGCUCAUUAUAAACACACUUGAUCGACUCCCUUUAAUACAGUAUUUUACACAUCUUAUCCAUGACCCACCUAGCUCCUAUUUCUUCACGUAAGAAUAUUUGCAUAUGUCUGUAAUCCCUUAACUUUAUGUUUGUAUUCACUCAUUAGUUAUUUGCAGGGAACAAGGCUUGGUGCCUUCUUUUGACAGUUACUUAGUUGUAGGGAAUAACUUCUAGCUCAUGAUUACAAACUCUUUAGCCAUUAAUUGGCUCAAGUAAUGUAUAAGUUUCCCGUGGGUUUUGUCAUAUUUCCAUUCUAAUCCACUUGUGGGCAGUUGUCAACACUGCUUCUACUCCUAGUUCAUUACAUUUAUUGCCGUCACAUUGAAGAAGUUUCAUUUUAUAUCUGGAUUAUUUGGGUGGUCAUUUUCAAUUUCUCUCUCCUUGUCCUGGUCCCUUUCUUUUGAAUAAUGUGUUUAUUCACUUUGUUGAUGCCCCAGAAUUGAUUUGUUUUUCCACUAAUGAGAGAUUUUGUUCUUUCAGCUUACCCAAUAUAAUUCAGUAUAGAGUGUCAUGUAAAACAUCUGUGCUUUUCUCUAAGUUUUCGUGUGUGUACUUUAGGGGUUGGGUCCCGUCUGGUACUGCAACUCAAAUAUUGGUCUUUGGUAUAUUAUGUGUGGUACACAGAAAUUACUGAAGGCUGUUCUUAAUAUCCAUGUCCUUUCACUUUGCACGUAAUAGUUAUUUCCCUCUCACAUGUCACUAGACCAUCAGUUCCCUUUUGUUAUGCUCACAUCCUGAUUACUUUGGAUUUGUUUGAACUCCAGUUGCCACUUACUAGACAAGUCUGGCAUCCUGCACAUGUACCCCAUUGUGAGUGCUCAUGUGAGAGUUCACCUGUGUGAGUCAUCAUGUACAAGUGUACAUUUGUUCCUGUGUCUACUAAUACAGGGUGUAACAUAGAUAGUUUUGAGUGAAGUGUAUAGGUUAGAAUUUUUGAUAGUCUUCAUACCUUAAUAAUAAUAAUGAUCUAGCACAAUGCAUUACACAAAAAAUUAAUGGUAAUGCCCCUAUCUAUAAAUUAUAUUUAAGCUAAAUAUUGUGUUAUCCCAAAAAUUAGGUACAUUAUAAAUACUGACAUGUUUUUGUUCGAAUUUGCAGAGUUGUUGAUGUGUCAGUAUAUUUUGAAUACGAUACCAGAAGUAUUAUAGUAUUAUAUUCUUGUGUUUCUCAAGGUAAAUUUCUUCAAAUGUCCUUAAAAGUGAGAAAAAAAUUCUAAUGAUAAUGAUGGUUUUGUAAAUGUAAUACAUAUUACAACACUGUAUGGUCAAAGCAAAAUUGCACCAUUUCAGUAUCGUUUAGCUUUACAACAUAUUUUGCCCCUUUAUUUUGUUUUCGGUAAUACUUUAGAGGUAGGGGGCUUAGUUGGCCAUACUGGGAAGGCAUGGGAGUAACUGUUAAGAUCUCCUUUCAUAGCUUCACUCACAUUGUAAGAGCCUCUUGGGCAUUUUGAUUUUUGUCUACCUCUCUUAACCUUCGUAUUGGCUUUGUUCAACGAAUGCUGUUUUUGUAUUCUUUGUGUUGUUUUGUCUGCCGUGCCUUUCUGUCGUCUCUCUUUUCUUGUCAGCUGUUUCAUGUCUUUAUCUGCAGAGUGUGUUCUUAGUUUCUUUUCACACUUAUGUUUCUCAGAAUAAGUGAAUGGCAACUACUUCAGUUGCAUAGUAACAGUCGAGUGUGUAGAGUUUACUGAAAAUUGUUUCAGGUGCUUUUGAAAAUCUUUAGCAUUUGAAAUGUUUACAAAAAAAUUUAUGUAUUGUACCAUCCAUUGAAAGUUCUAGAAAUGAAUUGGUGAUCUAAGUAGUUUUAUAAGCACCAUAACUUUGAACCAUUUUGUAUAUUUUGGAGAAGUUGUCUCACCUUCCUGUGUCAAUAGGAUGUGUAUAGCUAACUUGAAAUAGCAAAAUUGUAGGCUAAAUCCUAAAAUUGGGUUUUUAGUCUUUAUAUUUGCUCAUAAUGGACCUCUAGCAUAAAAAUAUAAAAAGGUGUGUAAUAUUGCUUUCCUCAACGAACACAAAUUUAUCUGUGAUAUCAAUUUUAAGCAUUCAAGAAUUGACAAAUUUUUCAAAUGUACAGUGUAUAUUUUUACAUAUAAAAAAAAUUUCAUACUGUA